GGGUUGUGAGGUUAAGCGACCAAGCGUACACGGUGGAUGCCCUGGCAGUCAGAGGCGAUGAAGGGCGUGCUAAUCUGCGAUAAGCGCCGGUAAGGUGAUAUGAACCGUUAUAACCGGCGAUACCCGAAUGGGGAAACCCAGUGUGA
rnacentral:rRNA from 1 species